rnacentral:lncRNA from 1 species
CCUUUCCCCACUGUUUAUUAGUUCUGAUUCCUAUUCCUGGCUCUUCUUUCCAAAUCUCCUUAUCCACACCUGUGAUGUGUUUGUUUCCUGGGGGUGUGCCUGCCCAGCUGAAGUUGUUCAGGUGCUUCUAGAAAGGACUUCCUUUCUCUCCGGGAGCAAAGCUUGUUCCACAAAUUUGGCUUAAUCUCCAGGAACAGGCUAUACCACAAGCCUUGAAAGAUUUCCUGCCCCAGACUCAGUCUGACUGCUCUUUAUCUGAUCAGCUGUCAUACCAAAAACAAAGUAUACAACUACAGAUGAGUUACAAGGACCCUUUCUGUCUCAGCAGGAUGUUAAGCUGAGUAAGAACUGAUGCCUCUCCCAUUGGGGUCUGUCUCUCUUAUCCAGCCAGAAGGAUCACUUUUAAGUUUCAUGAGGAUAAUAGUCUCACAGAUAUCACAUGAAGAGAAAUCCUUCAUUGAUCAUGAAGCUGUGCCACCUUUGGAAUGGACAUUUAUUAAUAUCUAAAAUGGACUUACGAGUCUUGUGGCAAACACCAAACUUUUCACUGGAGUUUUGCAUGGCUUUUAAAUGAGGAAAGUUUGAAGACUGCAAACAGUAACCUUGCUCCUGCACACUAGGGAAUUGCUGAUUUAUGCUAUAUAUGUAGCUGCGAAACAGCAAUGCAUCAAAUAACCUUAUGAGUCUGCCUAAGCACAAAAUCUUUCAUUUCUCUGUAGUGAAGGAGUGAAACAAGUUUGCAGCAGUUCUGGGGACACAGCAUCUUGGGAAAAGCAGGGCUGUGAGAAACUAUUGGCAGGCUGAAAUUGUUCAAACACAGCUGUCUUUGCUGGAGUUCUGAAAGGGAUGUUACACCUGUGAAUUGUAAAAUUUGCUGCUGAUGUUGCUAUCAAGACACCUGCUCAGGCAUACAAAUAAUUGUGAAUAAAUCAACCUUGGGAAUUCA